rnacentral:lncRNA from 12 species
AAAUUUGUGAAUUGCCUGUUGGAGUUAUGCAUCUGGUUGACAAGAGAGAUCUAGAGGCUUCAUCCAAAUCCAUCCAGGCCUCAACUGCAACUGAACAUCACCUUGGGCAGCCUCCACAACAAUUUAACCAGGAGAGACCUAAUGAUUCCAAGAAUCUUCUGAUUAUUUGGCCCUGUUUCACCAAAAACAGUUUCCCUGUAACUGAGGAAGGUUGGGCUAGGAAGAUACUGAGGAUGCAGGGAGCCACUCUUUAUCACUUGCUUUGCCAGCCAAUGUUGCCUAUUGUUACCAAGACCAAAGCCUUGACUGUAUCCUUGACCAAAGAAUGUCAUUGUAAACGAGGCGGCAUCCAUCUGUUUUUGUGUUGGACCUUGUUUUGAAAAAUAACCAAAGGAGAAGAGCCAUGGAAAUUUUAUGAGAAGCUGCCUGCCAAUGCCACACUUCACAAAGAAUAAAAAGAAAAGUCCUGCAAACA